GGAUCUGCAAUUGUAUUCCUGUUUCAAGCCCCGUUUUCUUGCAGCUCUUCGGCACUGCAAACCUAACCGCUAAUGGCGCUGUGGGUGGAGAAACGUUUGUUAGGCUUCUUACAUCAUGGUUGCAGGAUGGCUGCUACAGCUCUGGACAUCACAUCAAAAUAUGGCAGAAGCUAAAGCAGGAAGACAGAGAAGGAGGCAAAACAGCUUUAUUCACUUGUGGCUCUCAUAUGAAGAAUAAAGAUAUUUCUCGAAA
rnacentral:lncRNA from 10 species